GCCCCUUUAGCUUAGUGGUAGAGCGUUUCCCUCGUACAUUGAGCCAGGAAAAGGUCAGCGGUUCAAUCCCGCUAGGGGGCA